rnacentral:rRNA from 1 species
GUGGGGAAUCUUGCGCAAUGGGCGAAAGCCUGACGCAGCCAUGCCGCGUGAAUGAUGAAGGUCUUAGGAUUGUAAAAUUCUUUCACCGGGGACGAUAAUGACGGUACCCGGAGAAGAAGCCCCGGCUAACUUCGUGCCAGCAGCCGCGGUAAUACGAAGGGGGCUAGCGUUGCUCGGAAUUACUGGGCGUAAAGGGCGCGUAGGCGGAUCGUUAAGUCAGGGGUGAAAUCCCAGAGCUCAACUCUGGAACUGCCCUUGAUACUGGCGAUCUUGAGUGUGAGAGAGGUAUGUGGAACUCCGAGUGUAGAGGUGAAAUUCGUAGAUAUUCGGAAGAACACCAGUGGCGAAGGCGACACACUGGCUCAUUACUGACGCUGAGGCGCGAAAGCGUGGGGAGCAAACAGGAUUAGAAACCCGUGUAGUCC